GUGUUACGGAAAGUCGGUGGAGAGAGAGAGAGAGAGAGAGAGAGAGAGAGAGAGAGAGAAGGAGUCAGAAUUCAGAAAUAUAUUUCAGGUUUGUUUCAUAGAGAGCUUUUUUAAGGCUACAGAGAGACAGACAGAGAGGGGUAAGGGAAAAAAAAAAAAAAUACAUUGGUGAAUCUGAGUGGCAAUGGCGGUGCUGAAGCUCAUGCGCGCUUCAAGCAGUACGAGUACAGAGCCAACGCUAGCCUCGUCCUCACCUCUGACUCUCGCCGGCUCGAAACCGACGAGCCAACCGGUGAGGCAGAGUCACUCUGGGGAAAAAUUGAUCCCAAAACCUUCGGAGACGGAGUUUCCAGAGUAAAGCUGACAUUGAUGAAGAAAAGGAAGGAGCUUGACCAACCCGAAAGUGUGCUUUCCACCGGAAGACAAAGAAGCAGCGGCGAGUACUUAGCGAAGAGAGUGUUCUCAGUGCCUUCGAUGGAGGCCUAUACAAGUCCAUGACAGACAAGACAGAAGCUGUUUACAAUCUCGUGCUCGAUAUCAUUCAGAGACAGUUGGGAGGAUACCCUGACAGUGUUCUUUACUGUGCAGCAGAUUAGGUCUUGGCCGUGCUGAAGAAUACGAGAAUCAAGAGCUUUGACAAGAAAAAGGAAAUUGAGAAGUUGAAUUUCAAGAAGAUGAGGAUGAUGAGGAGGGAGUGAGUGAUCUUGAUAUGGUCCAUGAGGAUGACGAUGAGGAUGAUGAUGAUGAUGAUGUUGACAAUGGUGUGGCCGAACCCGCGACUCUGGAAGUGGGAGGCGGGAUUGAUGAUGAUGAUAAUGAUGAUAUGAAGGAGGCUAAUAAUGGAAGCAUGAGCCUAAUUGAUGCAUAUUGGCUUCAGAGGAAAAUUUCUCAAGCUUAUAAUGAUCAAGAGCAGGUACUGGAUCCACAGCAAUGCCAAAGGCUUGCAGAAAAGGUUAUUGGGAUUCUUGCUAAUAUUGGUGAUGAUGACAGAGAGGUUGAAAACAAGCUGUUGAAGGAAUUACAGUUUGAUAAAUUCAGCCUCAUUAAGUUCCUGCUUCUUAACCGGCAAAGCAUUGCCUGGUGCACCCUUUUGGCAAGGGCUCAAAACCAAAAGGAAAAAAAUUGAGGAGACCAUGAUCCUCUUGGACCGUCCUGAUUUGGAUGCAAUUCUGAAUCAGUUGCAUGCUACGAGGGCAACGCCAAAAGAGAGGCAAAGGAAGUUGGAGAAGACUAUUAGAGACGAGGCUCGUCGUUUGAAAGGUAGCAACCGAAAGGUUAGUAGUAGUGCUGGUGUUGCUGAUAGAGAUAAUAAACAUGCAGAGAGUGGUUGGUUUAAAGAACAAUGCAAGUUGCUUGAUCUUGAUAGUCUUGCAAAACAAGGUAGUCUUUCUUCAGACCAUAAGUGCACACUUCCAGCUGGGUCUUACAGGCGCUAUAUAUGGAAAUGGUUAUGAAGAAGUAUAUGUGCCUGCGUUCAAACCGAAACCACUCGAUCCCAAUGAGAAACCUGUAAACGUAUCCGACAUGCCUACUUGGGCGUAACCGGCUUUUAAUGGAAUGAACCAGUUGACUAGGACACAAAGUAGAGUUUAUGAGACUGCACUUUUUCAGGCAGAUAAUAUUCUGCUGCAUUGUAUGCACAUAUACGUACGCCAUUGGAAAUAUGAUCAGGUGAGAAAUUAUGAUAUGGUAGAAAAAGUGUUCCUGGGCAUUAUUAGGAAUCAUUUUUUCUUCUUUUUGACCAUGUGAAAAACACAAAUUUCGACUUUGUCUAGACUUUAGAAACCCACCCAGUAAAAUCUACAUGAUUUGGUAAAAUGAAAUUAUAUUUUAAAGCUUCAAAAUCUUGCAUGGUUCAUUAUUUGAACAGCUGCAUGCCCUUCAAAUCAAAAUCUUCUAGUAGCUCUCAUUUUUUUAACGUUGAAUUAUAGACAAUGAUUAUUUAGUUUGAUGUGAUCAUAAUUCAUGAUAACCAGCUGGCUUUUUAUUUUAUUUAUUAAUUAAUUUCAUUAAAUGUAGCCGAGAACAGAAGCUCUAGUGCAUACUUAGACUCUGCCAUGAUAACAUGUUUAUCGAUAAUUAAUUUUCAAGUUUUUUAGUAAUUACAAGACAAUUUCCGGAACGCAUAAUUUGAAAGUUCAUUAAUACCUUUAAUAUUUUUUGAGGGUAAGAAUUUUUUUUUUUUUAUCCCCAAAUCCUAAGGGCCCAAAUGAAAGAGACCUUGCAACAAAUAAACUAAACAAACUCCAUCCAAUUACCAAGCCUCUCACUCUUUCAUGCAUUGAUUCCUUGUGGUUAGGUAAAGAAAAGUAAGCCUGAUACUCAAAACUCUUAUAUUCUCUCUCUGGAGCAAUUCAAGACUUAGUAUAGUUUUCUCCCACUUGCUGUUUAGCCUUUCUUUUUCCUCCCCAUUUUCAUUAAUUAAUGAAUUGUUUUUCCAGUAAAGGACUUUGACAAUUCCAGUCCCUUAGUAAAGAUGAAUUCGGGUGAUCUAUAUGGCAGCAAAAUCACACACAAGAAAAGCACAUUAUAGCUACAGCUAAUAGUGAGAGAGAUCAAAAUGAGGCAAAGAUUCUUAGUCUCUGAACUGGUAGUUGUAGUAGUUUUUGGAGUUGAUUUUCUUGGUUUUUGCAAUGGAGGGAAGUUGGUGAAAAGCUUUUAUAAGGAGAGUUGUCCUAAUGCAGAGCAAAUUGUGGGAGACAUCACUUGGAAGCAUGUUGCAAGCAAAUCAUCUUUGCCUGCAUUUCCAUGAUUGUUUUGUGAGGGUAUGUAUAUUUCACAUAUCAUUAUUAGUCGUUAAAAAAAAAAUGUUAUUACUAUUUGUCACCAUUAGUAAUAAUAAUAGAUGGUUUAUUAAACUGUAAUGUCAUUAUCUUUAUCAAUAUGUCAUUGUUCAUGUAGUACUUGUGAUUUUUUUUUCCUUAACUAUUUUGCUAAAAUGUUAUUAAUUUUUAACAAAUUCUUUCUGUGUGAUUUGGAUUAUUGUUUGUUUAUAAGGGUUGCGAUGCAUCAAUACUGUUGGAUUCGACAGCAGUUAAGGGAAAAAACAGAAAAAACAGCAGCUCCAAAUCUGCCUCUAGAGGGAUUCGAUGUCAUAGAGGAGAUCAAAACCCAACUAGAGGAAACCUGUCCUGUCAAAGACAUCAUUGUGGAAAGUACUGACUGGAAGAAGAGAUGGAAAAAUUUCCAUUGCCUCAGAGGCCCUGGCCAACCUCAUUUCUCCAUUUUCCAACUUCAACACCCUCAAAAAAGGUUUCGAAAAAAAGAGUCUCACAGUUCAUGAUCUUGUUGUUUUAUCAGGUGAUAUAUCAAUUAAUUACAGGUAACCGGAUUGCCCACCAUAGCAGGACCGUGUAUAUAUAUAUAUAUAUAUACAGAUUCAAGAAGGUUUUACUGAAUAAAGAUGAAAGUUUGAUUAAAAAAAAAAAAAAAAAAUUUGAGAAAUUGGGUAUGCA